rnacentral:rRNA from 1 species
CGGCAAUGGAGGAAACUCUGACCGAGCAACGCCGCGUGAACGAUGAAGUAUUUCGGUACGUAAAGUUCUUUUAUUAGGGAAGAAUAAAUGAUGGAGAAAUCAUUCUGACGGUACCUAAUGAAUAAGCCCCGGCUAACUAUGUGCCAGCAGCCGCGGUAAUACAUAGGGGGCAAGCGUUAUCCGGAAUUAUUGGGCGUAAAGGGUGCGUAGGCGGUUAAAUAAGUUUAUGGUCUAAGUGCAAUGCUUAACAUUGUGAUGCUAUAAAAACUGUUUAGCUAGAGUAAGAUAGAGGCAAGUGGAAUUCCAUGUGUAGUGGUAAAAUGCGUAAAUAUAUGGAGGAACACCAGUAGCGAAGGCGGCUUGCUGGGUCUUUACUGACGCUGAGGCACGAAAGCGUGGGGAGCAAACAGGAUUAGAUACCCUGGUAGUCCACGCCGUAAACGAUGAGUACUAAACGUUGGGUAAAACCAGUGUUGAAGUUAACACAUUAAGUACUCCGCCUGAGUAGUACGUACGCAAGUAUGAAACUUAAAGGAAUUGACGGGACUCCGCACAAGCGGUGGAUCAUGUUGUUUAAUUCGAAGGUACCCGAAAAACCUCACCAGGUCUUGACAUGCUUCUGCAAAGCUGUAGAAACACAGUGGAGGUUAUCAGUUGCACAGGUGGUGCAUGGUUGUCGUCAGCUCGUGUCGUGAGAUGUUGGGUUAAGUCCCGCAACGAGCGCAACCCUUAUUGUUAGUUACCAGCACGUAAUGGUGGGGACUUUAGCAAGACUGCCAGUGAUAAAUUGGAGGAAGGUGGGGACGACGUCAAAUCAUCAUGCCCCUUAUGACCUGGGCUACAAACGUGAUACAAUGGCUGUUACAAAGAGUAGCUGAA